rnacentral:tRNA from 2 species
UGGGGGGUAGUGUAAAUGGCAGCACAGCGGGUUUUGGUCCCGCUAGUACGGGUUCGACUCCUGUCCCCCCAGCCA